rnacentral:misc_RNA from 1 species
GAUGAAGAACGUAGCGAAAUGCGAUAAGUAAUGUGAAUUGCAGAAUUCAGUGAAUCAUCGAAUCUUUGAACGCACAUUGCGCCCGCCAGUAUUCUGGCGGGCAUGCCUGUUCGAGCGUCAUUUCAACCAUUAAGCCCCCCGGCUUGUGUUGGGGACCUGCGGCUGCCGCAGGCCCUGAAAAGCAGUGGCGGGCUCGCUGUCACACCGAGCGUAGUAGAUCUCAUCUCGCUCAGGGCGUGCUGCGGGUUCCGGCCGUUAAACCACCUUCAUAACCCAAGGUUGACCUCGGAUCAGGUAGGAAGACCCGCUGAACUUAAGCAUAUCAAUAAGCGGAGGA